rnacentral:rRNA from 1 species
UACGUAGGGGGCGAGCGUUGUCCGGAUUCAUUGGGCGUAAAGAGCUCGUAGGCGGUUCAGUUAGUCGGGUGUGAAAUCUCCGGGCUCAACCCGGAGGGGCCACCCGAUACUGCUGUGACUCGAGUCCGGUAGGGGAGUGGGGAAUUCCUGGUGUAGCGGUGAAAUGCGCAGAUAUCAGGAGGAACACCGGUGGCGAAGGCGCCACUCUGGGCCGGUACUGACGCUGAGGAGCGAAAGCGUGGGUAGCAAACAGG